CAAUAGCGUAUAUUAAAGUUGUUGCAGUUAAAAAGCCCGUAGUUGGAUUUCUGGAUGGAGCGACCGGUCGGGCAUUAAUUUGUCUGCACUGGAGUCGGUUCCGUCCAUCCUCUUGGAAAGUGCGUGGGGCAUUAAGUUGUCUGGCGUAUGAUCCAAGUCGUUUACUGUGAAAAAAUUAGAGUGUUUAAAGCAGGCCUUCGCCUUGAAUACAUUAGCAUGGAAUAAUAAGAUAGGACUUUGGUCUAUUUUGUUGGUUUGCAGACCGAAGUAAUGAUUAAUAGGGAUAGUUGGGGGUAUUUAUAUUCCGAUGUCAGAGGUGAAAUUCUUAGAUUUUCGGAAGAUAAACUUAUGCGAAAGCAUUUACCAAGGAUGUUUUCAUUAA
rnacentral:rRNA from 1 species